GAGGGACUUAUGUCUUCUAUUUCCAGUCUCCAUAUGAAGGAUUCAGAAUCAUAUCUCUAAUUAAGUUUCAAUCUUUCAUUUCAACUCCAAAAGAUUGAGAGAGAAGAUGGAGCCAAUUGCAAAAGUAUCAUCGAUAUUCAUCUAUCCUAUCAAGUCAUGCCGUGGCAUCUCUGUUUCUCAUGCUCCGCUUACUCCUACAGGUCAAACCAACCACUACCCGCAUCUUUGAUCUCUCUUGCACACUGUAACUUCUUUUGCCAUGAAUUUCUCUGUUACCCGGUUGGCUUUUGCCACUCAUCUCUUAGAUUUUACAUUUUCAUAUCAUCUAUAUGCAUCCCUUUUAUCAGUUUCUUGGAUUGAAUAAUCAUCGUGCUUCUGGAUCUUUUCGUUAUUAUUAUUUUUCUUAAUUUUUGACUGAAUUUUACUAGGGAAAUGGGGAAAUUCAUGAGAAGAGAGAAAGAGAUGGAGAGGAAAUAUGCUGAGUGUUAUUAAGUAAUUAGUUGUGAUAAAUUAUGAGUAUGGAAUCAAUUUGCUAUUGGUUUAACGUUUCAAUGAUCAACGUCGUUACUUGUUCAAACACUUUCUUUUAGAUAAAUCCAUGUCAUUUCAGUUAGCUACGUGGUCCAAUCAUAAUAUCAUCCAGAUUACAACACACUUAUGUGCAAGUUACGUGUCCUGCCUGACUAAUACAAAUUGAUUGGUCUGUCAUUCUUAAUUUCGUAUGCCUGCAUAACAAUUGAGAGGCACAGAUCACCAAGAACUUUGUCAUUUGGGUUGGAAAUUAGAAUAGGAAUUGGUAAUAUCAAAGUUGAAUUUCUAGUUAAAAGUUAAAACACUAUUGGUGUUGAAAUAUCAGCAUAGAUACCUGAAAUGCCAGAAAUAUGGUAACUAUAUAUUUCUUGAAAUGAUGGUCUAGUUUUUGUGAAUUUCUGCAACAUUAAUUUGGUUUUAGCGAUAGAUGCAGUGUGAUUCACUUUAAAAUUCAAUUACAAACUCGGAUGGAAUUUUUGUCGAUAGAUGUAGAUUGUGUAAGUGAAUAGAAGUGCCUCUAUCUAUUUCAUAUCAUCUCUGCUAGUGAAGCAGAUGUUUUUGCCUUUAUUGCAGCCAAAGAAGUUACACAUAACUGGACAACUUACUGGUGAACUCAUUUGACUAUUUUACAUUGUUUGGGCUCAUUACUAACCUUAAAGAUCAGAUCAUUCUGUAUUUAGCAAUUGGACCUGUAAACUUAAUUUUACUUUUUUGUUGGCAUAUUUAAUUAUGCUUUAAUAUACAGGAUUUCGAUGGGAUCGAAACUGGUUAGUUGUGAAUUACAAAGGGAGGGCUUAUACACAAAGAGUUGAACCAAAGCUUGCUCUGGUUGAGAUAGAGCUGCCACAUGAGGCAUUUUUUGAUGGGUGGGAACCGACAAAAAAGUCCUAUAUGGUAAUAAAGGCUCCUGGGAUGGGUGUGCUCAACAUACCAAUGACGAAGCCACAAGCAGUAGCUGAUGGUGUCUCAGUUUGGGAAUGGUCUGGCUCUGCAUUGGAUGAGGGAGCUGAAGCUGCAAAAUGGUUUUCAGAUUAUCUUGGGAAACCCAGUCGACUAAUGCGUUUUAAUCCAGAAUCAGAAACUAGGCCUGUGGAUCCUAAUUAUGCUCCUGGACACAACACUAUGUUUGCUGACCUCUUUCCAUACAUGCUAAUAUCUCAGGUUAGUCAUGGCAUAAACUAUUAAGUUGUCUUUGCUUUUAUAUGAAUCUAAGGUCUGGAUCUUGUAAACUUAUUUUUUGCAGGGAUCAUUGGAUGCGCUAAAUAAGCUUCUCAAGGAGCCUGUUCCAAUUAACCGUUUUAGACCCAAGUAUAUUUUAGACCAAAAUUGGAUUUAUUUUAGUUACCAUUCAAUUUUUAUUUAAAAAAGUUUGCUUGGGAGUGCACUGCUUCUAGAGGCCUUGAGUAACAUCCAAAUGUUACUAAUGGCUUAAGAUUCAGUGCUAUUGAAUUUCUUUAGAAAUUUUCAGUAGCACCUGUUUUCCCCUAACAUCAUCAACCGGAUUUUAUAAUCUCUUAAACCAUUUUCUUGUGUAUCACAGCAUCCUUGUUGAUGGUUGUGAGCCAUUUUCUGAGGACUUGUGGACAGAAAUUAGGAUAAAUAAGUACACAUUUGAAGGUGUCAAGCUGUGCUCCCGUUGUAAGGUAUAUGGCUUCCCUUUCUGUACUUUCUGCUCUUCUUAUAAAAGCUAUACACCACUAACAAUUUGUAAAAGAUGCCAAUGUGAGGGAAAAGUUGGCAUGGGUUUUUAAUGAUUCUGGCUUGGAUGUUAAUCAUGUUAUCAUUAUUUAACCACAUAAAAUUACUGUCAUUUCGCAACUGUUGUUGCUAGAUUAGUAUUUUUUACCCUUUGGAAAAUCGAAUUGCAAAGGUGAUAAAGAAAAAUAAAGCAAUAAACAUGCAAUUGGAUUGAAGAGAAAGCAUUGGUGCUUUCUGAAGCAUCAAGACUGUAUGGGUAGCUCGUAUUUAAUGGUGAAGCAUCACAAGAAUGUCUGGUCUGAGGAGACUUUCUUGUUCUGAAUUGCAGUCUUAUGAUCAUGGAAGAAUUUUCAAUUUUUUUUCCUCCUUACUUAAGGUCCACUAUGAUUUACAAAAAAUCUAAAAAAAAAAAAAAAUAAUCAGUCUGAUGACUGAUUGCCUUCUGUUAUAGCUCUAAAAUGAGUGGAGUGGAGGAAAUUUAUUCAUAUGAUCCCAAACUGAUUCCUACUAGUUUGGAAUUAAAGCUUAGUAUGACGGAUUGCCCUAAUUAAAUGUCCUAGCUUUGUGUCUGCUAUGCUUGCCUAUGGGUCUCUCCUAUGCUGCUGUGCUAACAAGAAAUAGUAGUUUAUGAAUUUCAAAUUGACAAAUCCUAUAUUUUUAUUUGAGAAGGGUCAAUCAUUUCCUUUAGUUCUUCUUCAUGCGUUGUCUAUAAUUCUGAAAUUUUGAAUUAGACCUCCGCAUUGCACGUGUUUCUUCAUAUAUUAUAUGUUUCAAUGUUUAAAAGGACAUUAUUUGGCAUGCAGAUUCCUACAAUUAAUCAAGCUACUGGCGUAGCAGGUUCGGAGCCAAAUGAAACUCUAAUGAAAAUCCACUCUGAUAAAGUUUUGCGUCCAGAUAAGAAACAACAGGGAAAGGUAAGAUUAAUAUCCAUAACAUUAAAUAUUUUUUUUGUAUAAAAAUCAUUGAUAGAACAAAAUUUACAAAAUGUUACUGUAGAUCUACUUCGGACAGAACAUGGUUUGGAAAGACAAUCUUAACGGAGGGAAAGGAAACACAGUUAAUGUGGGAGAUCCUGUUUUUGUUGUCAGGAAAGUCUCUUCUGCUGCUGAAGCUGCUGCCUGAAAAUUGUUAGAAAAUAGUUUAGACUAUUAGAAUUUCUACUAAUAUAAUAAGUUGCAGAAAAUAAGAUCUGUCUAGUAUUAACAAAGAACGUAUUUUCAUUCCAACAGUUGAUGAGAUAAAUCUGCUGUUAAUUUAUCCAGAUGCUUAUCAAUUCAAUAGUAAAGCACCAGGGAGUGCUAUGAAACUUUUCUGUGGCUGAGCUUGAUUGUUGAAGUAUUGUUUUGUAUAAACUACUUUAGCUAAGUUUGUUCAAGUCCUUUUGAAGUCUAUCUUAGGCCAUCAGUGUUCUAGGUUCCAUCCUGCGUGCCUACAUUAGCUAUAGUACCAAUCGGUGACAAAAAUUUCCACCAAAAGUAUACUACGGAAUAAAAAAAAAGGCGUAACUUUGCAUAAUUUUAAUUUUAAAGGUUUAAGUUAUGGUAUUAUUAUUAUUUUUUUUUAGCAAUCAAGUUGUGUUUUUCGCCGUUGGAAU
rnacentral:misc_RNA from 1 species